rnacentral:rRNA from 1 species
UACGAGGGGGGCAAGCGUUGUUCGGAAUUAUUGGGCGUAAAGGGUGCGUAGGCGGUUUUGUAAGUCUUGUGUGAAAUCUUCAGGCUCAACUUGAAGACUGCACGAGAAACUGCAGGGCUUGAGUGUGGGAGAGGUGAGUGGAAUUCCGGGUGUAGCGGUGGAAUGCGUAGAGAUCCGGAAGAACACCGGUGGCGAAGGCGGCCCGCUGGGCAACUGCUGACACUGAGGCGCGACAGCGUGGGGAGCAAACAGG